rnacentral:lncRNA from 1 species
GGCUGGGUCCUUAGGGUCUCACAGGGUCAAAAUGGAGGCAGAUGCUGGAUGGCGCGCUUAUCUGGACGUCCUUGAGAAGAAGAAUCAGCUUUCGACCUCCUUCAGGCUGUUGACAGAAUUCAGAUCCUGUGGCUGGUGAGGACGGAGGACCCCUUCCUUGCUGGCUGUCAGGAUGCAGGUUCCCAGGUACUGCUACAAGGCUGAUGGAGAAAGGGAUGGCAACAGGAGCGUCAGACAAAGAAGCUCAUUCUAUAGACCCAGCAGGGCCAGCACUGACCAACAGAUGCACCAUCACCUCGGGAGGCAGGUUCAUUCUCUCUCUAGACAGGCUCGAGAAUGGAGACAGAAAAUGGAGGUAACUUGCCCAAGGCCACUCUGUAGACCAGGCAAUUUGAAAGGAAGAGAGGAUUUAGGCGCCAUACUCAAGGUUACCUGGGUAAGAAAUGAUGGAGCAAGAAUGUCACCCAUGGGACCACACCCCUGAAUCUAUAAAUUGGAGUGUUUCUGCAAAUUCUAAGAGGUUCUUAACAUUAUCCAGAAUGGUGCCCUGGUGGACGAUCAUGCACCUUG